AGUGAACGCUGGCGGUAGGCCUAACACAUGCAAGUCGAACGGCAGCACAGUAAGAGCUUGCUCUUACGGGUGGCGAGUGGCGGACGGGUGAGGAAUACAUCGGAAUCUACUUUUUCGUGGGGGAUAACGUAGGGAAACUUACGCUAAUACCGCAUACGACCUACGGGUGAAAGCAGGGGAUCUUCGCACCUUGCGCGAUUGAAUGAGCCGAUGUCGGAUUAGCUAGUUGGCGGGGUAAAGGCCCACCAAGGCGACGAUCCGUAGCUGGUCUGAGAGGAUGAUCAGCCACACUGGAACUGAGACACGGUCCAGACUCCUACGGGAGGCAGCAGUGGGGAAUAUUGGACAAUGGGCGCAAGCCUGACGCAGCCAUACCGCGUGGGUGAAGAAGGCCUUCGGGUUGUAAAGCCCUUUUGUUGGGAAAGAAAAGCAGCAGGUGAAUACCCCGCUGUUCUGACGGUACCCAAAGAAUAAGCACCGGCUAACUUCGUG
rnacentral:rRNA from 1 species